rnacentral:rRNA from 1 species
UACAGAGGGGGCAAGCGUUGUUCGGAAUUACUGGGCGUAAAGGGCGCGUAGGCGGCCUUCUAAGUCGAACGUGAAAUCCCCCGGCUCAACCGGGGAACUGCACCUGAUACUGGCGUGCUCGAGGACGGUAGGGGUGAGUGGAACUCCAGGUGGAGCGGUGAAAUGCGUAGAUAUCUGGAGGAACGCCGGUGGCGAAAGCGGCUCACUGGACCGUCUCUGACGCUGAGGUGCGAAAGCUAGGGUAGCAAACGGG